rnacentral:rRNA from 1 species
CACGUAGUUAGCCGGUGCUUUUUCUGCAAGUACCGUCACUUUCGCUUCUUCCUUGCUAAAAGAGGUUUACAACCCGAAGGCCGUCAUCCCUCACGCGGCGUUGCUGCAUCAGGCUUUCGCCCAUUGUGCAAUAUUCCCCACUGCUGCCUCCCGUAGGAGUCUGGGCCGUGUCUCAGUCCCAGUGUGGCCGGUCACCCUCUCAGGCCGGCUACCCGUCGACGCCUUGGUGAGCCAUUACCUCACCAACAAGCUGAUAGGCCGCGAGCCCAUCCUGAACCAAAAAAUCUUUCCAAACGUUGACCAUGCGGCCACGUCUCGUAUCCAGUAUUAGACGCCGUUUCCAGCGCUUAUCCCAGAGUUCAGGGCAGGUUGCUCACGUGUUACUCACCCGUUCGCCACUGAUCCACCAAGCAAGCUUGGCUUCACCGUUCGACUUGCAUGUGUUAAGCACGCCGCCAGCGUUCAUCCUGAGCCAGGAUCAAACUCU